CUGGUUGAUCCUGCCAGUAGUCAUAUGCUUGUCUUAAAGAUUAAGCCAUGCAUGUGUAAGUAUAAAUAGUAUACAGUGAAACUGCGAAUGGCUCAUUAAAACAGUUAUAGUUUACUUGGUGGUUAAUUUUACUUGGAUAACUGUAGUAAUUCUAGAGCUAAUACAUGCAUAAAGCUCCGACUUCGCGGAAGGAGUGUAAUUAUUAGCUUACAAACCAGUGCGGUAACCCCGCUUCUUGGUGAAUCGAAGUAAUCCAAUUUUUCUUUUCUGAUCGUAUGGUCUCUUGGCCUUGAUAGAUCAUUCAAAUUUCUGCCCUAUCAACUUUUGAUGGUAGUGUAUUGGACUACCAUGGUUAUAACGGGUAACGGAGGAUUAGGGUUUGAUUCCGGAGAGGGAGCCUGAGAAACGGCUACCACAUCCAAGGAAGGCAGCAGGCGCGCAAAUUACCCAAUCUCGACACGAGGAGGUAGUGACAAUAAAUAACAAUGCAGGGGCUUUUUAAGUCUUGCAAUUGGAAUGAGUACAAUUUAAAAUCCUUAACGAGGAACAAUUGGAGGGCAAGUCUGGUGCCAGCAGCCGCGGUAAUUCCAGCUCCAAUAGCGUAUAUUUAUGUUGUUGCAGUUGAAACGCUCGUAGUUGGAUUUCAGGAUGGGCUGGGCGGUCAGCUUAUCGGCUUGUACUGUCUGGCUGGGCCUUACUUCUUGGUGAGCUGGUGUGUCCUUUAUUGGGUGCGCUGGUGAACCAGGACCUUUACCUUGAGAAAAUUAGAGUGUUCAAAGCAGGCUUAUGCCCGAAUACAUUAGCAUGGAAUAAUAAAAUAGGACGUGCGGUUCUAUUUUGUUGGUUCCUAGAGUCGCCGUAAUGAUUAAUAGGGAUAGUUGGGGGCAUUGGUAUUGAGUCGCUAGAGGUGAAAUUCUUGGAUUGACUCAAGACCAACUAUUGCGAAAGCAUUUGCCAAGGAUGUUUUCAUUAAUCAAGAACGAAGGUUAGGGGAUCGAAAACGAUUAGAUACCGUUGUAGUCUUAACAGUAAACUAUGCCGACUAGGGAUCGGAUGACCUCAAUUAUUAUGUGUCAUUCGGCACCUUACGAGAAAACAAAGUCUUUGGGUUCCGGGGGGAGUAUGGUCGCAAGGUUGAAACUUAAAGGAAUUGACGGAAGGGCACACCAGAGGUGGAGCCUGCGGUUUAAUUUGACACAACACGGGGAAACUCACCAGGUCCAGACAUGAGAAGGAUUGACAGUUUGAAAGCACUUUCUUGAUUUCAUGGGUGGUGGUGCAUGGCCGUUCUUAGUUGGUGGAGUGAUUUGUCUGGUUGAUUCCGAUAACGAACGAGACUCUCAGAGUAAACUGGCGCGGUCGUAAUUCACGUUACUUCUUCCCGCCUCUUUUCUCGACAAUUCGUUUUAAACGAAAGGAAGCGGAGAGCAAUAACAGGUCUGUGAUGCCCCUCGAUGUUCUGGGCCACACGCGCGCUACAAUGACGAGUUCAACGAGUUUUUUUCUCCUUGCCCGGAAGGGUGUGGGUAAUCUUUUCAAUGCUCGUCGUGAUGGGGAUAGAUUUUUGCAAUUAUUAAUCUUCAACGAGGAAUCUCUAGUAUGUGCAGUUCAUCAGACUGCGCAGAAUGCGUCCCUGCCCUUUGUACACACCGCCCGUCGCACCUACCGAUUGGACGAUCCGGCAAGAUGUUUGGAGUUUAGCCUGUCGAAGCUUUCGGGCCUCUUCAAGCCAGACGAAGCUCCUCAAACCUUAUCGUCUAGAGGAAGGUGAAGUCGUAACAAGGUCUCUGUAGGUGAACCUGCA
rnacentral:rRNA from 1 species